CCCUGUAUCGAAAGUGAUCAUGGCGUUCCCGUUGCCAGGUCAUUGAUAGUACAGGAAGAUGAACUCGAGGGCUUUUCCCGUGUUUGAGGGAACCUCUGUUCCCAUCAGACCCUGGCGCUCUCAGACA